rnacentral:rRNA from 1 species
UACAGAGGGUGCGAGCGUUAAUCGGAAUUACUGGGCGUAAAGCGUGCGUAGACGGCUAUCUAAGUCGGGUGUGAAAGCCCCGGGCUCAACCUGGGAAUUGCAUUCGAGACUGAAUAGCUAGGGUACGGUAGAGGGAAGCGGAAUUUCCGGUGUAGCGGUGAAAUGCGUAGAUAUCGGAAGGAACAUCAGUGGCGAAAGCGGCUUCCAUGGACCA